UUCAGCAUCAGUCAACUUGGGACUUUGAGGGUGCUAUUUCUCUUUUGUUUUUUUUCUUUCUUUUUCUUUCUUUUGAUUUCUUUUGAUUUUGCACCCUCUUUUUCUUCUUUUCUUUUUUUUUUUACAUUUUUUUUUUGCCCCAGUUGGUUGUUCUGCUGAUUCUCGAGAUGCAGCUGAGUGUGAUCUUCUUUUCUUGCUCAAGAAGUCGGGAAAUACCGUCAGGAAUCCCCUCAAGCAUCAUCUUCUUCCGCUUCGAAUACAGGGAAUUCAAAAUUGGGAGAUGACGUCCGAUCAUUACAUUCAAUGGGUUU
rnacentral:lncRNA from 1 species